UACAGAGGGCUCAAGCGUUGUUCGGAUUCAUUGGGCGUAAAGCGUGCGUAGGCGGCGCGGUAAGUCGGGUGUGAAAUCUCGGGGCUUAACUCCGAAACUGCAUUCGAUACUGGCGUGCUUGAGGACUGGAGAGGAGACUGGAAUUUACGGUGUAGCGGUGAAAUGCGUAGAUAUCGUAAGGAAGACCAGUGGCGAAGGCGGGUCUCUGGACAGUUCCUGACGCUGAGGCACGAAGGUCAGGGGAGCAAACGGG
rnacentral:rRNA from 1 species